rnacentral:rRNA from 1 species
CAGCCGCCGCGGUAAUACGAAGGGGGCUAGCGUUACUCGGAAUUACUGGGCGUAAAGGGCGCGUAGGCGGCACGAUUAGUCAGGCGUGAAAUUCCUGGGCUCAACCUGGGGACUGCGCUUGAUACGGUCGAGCUAGAGGAUGGAAGAGGGUCGUGGAAUUCCCAGUGUAGAGGUGAAAUUCGUAGAUAUUGGGAAGAACACCGGUGGCGAAGGCGGCGACCUGGUCCAUUACUGACGCUGAGGCGCGACAGCGUGGGGAGCAAACAGGAUUAGAUACCCCUGUAGUCCCUGUCUCUUAUAC